GGGCACAUGGUGGAUGUCUUGGCUUCAGGAGCCGAUGAAGGACGUGGGAGGCUGCGAUAUGCCUCGGGGAGCUGUCAACCGAGCUGUGAUCCGAGGAUUUCCGAAUGGGGAAACCCAGCACCAGUGAUGUGGUGUUACCCGCCGGUGAAUAUAUAGCCGGUGUGGAGGGAACGCGGGGAAGUGAAACAUCUCAGUACCCGCAGGAAGAGAAAACAAAAGUGAUUCCGUGAGUAGUGGCGAGCGAAAGCGGAAGAGGCUAAACCGAUUGCAUGUGAUACCUGUCAGGGGUUGUGUGGUCGGGGUUGUGGGACCUGUCUUCUCAGAGCUGACACUCUGGGCGUGAUGCGGCAUGGUUAGCGGAACCGCUUGGGACGGCGGGCCGGAGCGGGUGAGAGCCCCGUACGCGAAAACUGUGUUUGUGUUGUGUGGCGGUGUUCCCGAGUAGCAGCGAGCUCGUGGAAUUUGCUGUGAAUCUGCCGGGACCACCCGGUAAGCCUAAAUACUUCCUGGAGACCGAUAGCGGACGAGUACCGUGAGGGAAAGAUGAAAAGUACCCCGGGAGGGGAGUGAAAGAGUACCUGAAACCGUGUGCCUACAAGCCGUCAGAGCUCACUUGUUGAGUGAUGGCGUGCCUUUUGAAGAAUGAGCCUGCGAGUUAGUGCUGCGUGGCGAGGUUAACCCGGGUGGGGUAGCCGUAGCGAAAGCGAGUCUGAAUAGGGCGAUUGAGUCGCGUGGUCUAGACCCGAAGCGGAGUGAUCUACCCAUGGCCAGGGUGAAGCGACGGUAAGACGUCGUGGAGGCCCGAACCCACUUAGGUUGAAAACUGAGGGGAUGAGCUGUGGGUAGGGGUGAAAGGCCAAUCAAACUCCGUGAUAGCUGGUUCUCCCCGAAAUGCAUUUAGGUGCAGCGUCGCGUGUUUCUUGCCGGGGGUAGAGCUACUGGAUGGUCUAGGGGCCUUACCGGGUUACCGAAAUCAACCAAACUCCGAAUACCGGUUAGUGAGAGCGCGGCAGUGAGACGGCGGGGGAUAAGCUUCGUCGUCGAGAGGGAAACAGCCCAGAACACCAGCUAAGGCCCCUAAGUGUGUGCUCAGUGGGAAAGGAUGUGGGAUUGCCCAGACAACCAGGAGGUUGGCUUAGAAGCAGCCACCCUUGAAAGAGUGCGUAAUAGCUCACUGGUCAAGUGGUCCUGCGCCGACAAUGUAGCGGGGCUUAAGCACACCGCCGAAGCUGUGUCAUUGACACAAUAGAUCGACGUUCGUCCUUGAGGCGGAUGUCCAGUCGUGUUGAUGGGUAGGGGAGCGUCCUGCAUCCAGGGAAGCCGCGGCGGAAGCUAGCGGUGGAGGGUGCGGGAGUGAGAAUGCAGGCAUGAGUAGCGAAUGCAGAGUGAGAAACUCUGC
rnacentral:ncRNA from 1 species